CAGUCGCCGCGGGAAUACGAAGGGGGCUAGCGUUGUUCGGAAUUACUGGGCGUAAAGCGCACGCAGGCGGCUCGAUAAAUUAGAAGUGAAAGCCUUGGGCUUAACCUGAGAAUUGCUUUUAAGACUGUCGAGCUAGAAUCCAGAAGAGGGUAGUGGAAUUCCGAGUGUAGAGGUGAAAUUCGUAGAUAUGCGGAGGAACACCGAUGGCGAAGGCAGCCCCCUGGGCCAACACUGACGCUCAUGCACGAAAGCGUGGGGAGCAAACAGGAUUAGAUACCCGCGUAGUCCCUGUCUCUUAUAC
rnacentral:rRNA from 1 species